AUGAACGCUGGCGGCGUGCCUAAUACAUGCAAGUCGAGCGAACGGACGAGAAGCUUGCUUCUCUGAUGUUAGCGGCGGACGGGUGAGUAACACGUGGAUAACCUACCUAUAAGACUGGGAUAACUUCGGGAAACCGGAGCUAAUACCGGAUAAUAUUUUGAACCGCAUGGUUCAAAAGUGAAAGAAGGUCUUGCUGUCACUUAUAGAUGGAUCCGCGCUGCAUUUGCUAGUUGGUAAGGUAACGGCUUACCAAGGCAACGAUGCAUAGCCGACCUGAGAGGGUGAUCGGCCACACUGGAACUGAGACACGGUCCAGACUCCUACGGGAGGCAGCAGUAGGGAAUCUUCCGCAAUGGGCGAAAGCCUGACGGAGCAACGCCGCGUGAGUGAUGAAGGUCUUCGGAUCGUAAAACUCUGUUAUUAGGGAAGAACAUAUGUGUAAGUAACUGUGCACAUCUUGACGGUACCUAAUCAGAAAGCCACGGCUAACUACGUG
rnacentral:rRNA from 1 species